CCUACGGGUGGCAGCAGUGGGGAAUAUUGCACAAUGGGGGAAACCCUGAUGCAGCGACGCCGCGUGAGUGAAGAAGGAUUUCGGUAUGUAAAGCUCUAUCAGCAGGGAAGAAAUAGCGACCUUUGGUUCGCCAGACGGUACCUGAUUAAGAAACCCCGGCUAACUACGUGCCAGCAGCCGCGGUAAUACGUAGGGGGCAAGCGUUAGCCGGAUUUACUGGGUGUAAAGGGAGAGUAGACGGCAGCGCAAGUCUGAAGUGAAAUGCCGGGGCUUAACCCCGGAACUGCUUUUGAGACUGUGCAGCUAGAGUGCAGGAGAUGUAAGUGGAAUUCCUAGUGUAGCGGUGAAAUGCGUAGAUAUUAGGAGGAACACCAGUGGCGAAGGCGGCUUACUGGACUGUAACUGACGUUGAGGCUCGAAAGCGUGGGGAGCAAACAGGAUUAGAUACCCGAGUAGUC
rnacentral:rRNA from 1 species